CAUUGACACGCUCCAGACAUCUGGGCUCUGAGCUCCCGUGGGCUGGGGUGCCCUGGACAGAGCUGGGAGGGAGCCUUGGGAGCAGCCGAGAGGGAGCUGGUGGUGGGCCACCGCGGGCGGAGGGAAGGAGUUGGGCGAGAAGAAGCGAAAUUUAAAGUGGAUGAAUUAUUUACUGCAGCAAACAAUUCCGGACUCACUUACUCUCGCUGGGCGCAUCCCCAGCUGUAAUCUGCGGCAUUUUUCACGUCUCCCCGGGGGGCCGCGGGGUUUUCUUUACGAUUGGACGCCAGGGCCGGAUCGGCUCAGUAUCGAUCACCGUCCUCCGCUCCAGGCCCCCGCCCACCCUGGACACUGCCCGCAGCCUGGACCACACCCCAGGCGGCCCGGGCUGGGUGGUGCGGCUGACGAGGGGUCGGGACCCAGGUGGGCAGUUGGAGCCCCCGGAUGGAGGCCACUCGCCAUCGUUGGUCUCGGCCCUCGGCGGUCACUCAAUGCGCCUCCUGUCCUUAUCUCAGCAGGACCCUGAGGCGGAGAUUAUUAAUCCCAUUUUUCAGACACCAGAGUAGCUGCUCGACACCAGCCCCUCCCGGGUCCUGGCCCAGCGAUGCCUGUGCUUUAUCACCUCGUCGUCUCCUCACAGCAGCCUGGUCACGGAGAGGCCCAGAGAGGCCACCUGGUCUGCCUGGAGUCACACGGACUCUCCACAGCUCCUGUGCUCAAGAGCAGCGGGAGUCUCAAGGCCAGAGACGCUGUCGCUUUCCUCAACCACCCGCCACACACCACCUCACUCCCCAGCGCCCUUCCCAGAGGGCGGAGGCGCAUCCUGGAGGGACAGCAGCCAGGGGCAGCCGCUGGCCCAGUGGGGACCGUGCACCUGGCCGGGAGCUGGCUGCUCUGGAGUCUUUACUUCCCCCUCGAACCCUCACCCCAAACCUGUGAUGUGGAGAGCACCCCCAUCCCAGAGACGGGACGAGGCCUGGAGCCGGUGUGGCCUCCCCGUCCUCAGGCACCCAGGAGCAGGUGGCCCAGCUCCCCGGGGCCUGGCUCCGGGAACUGGCUCACUUCCCUGGUUCUCAGGGGGCUGUGAAGACUCCACGUUCCGAGUAGCCAGGCCCAGGCUGGGGGGUGACCAGCUCCUCCGGGCCCAACACAUGGGGUCCCUCUGCAGCGGCCGCCUUUGAGCUGUCGCCAGGGCGUGUCCCGAGUUUGGGGCCUCUCCUUCCUCAGUCCCCUGGGCCCUGGCCUCACCUGCAUGCUGUCCCUGCCAGAAUGAAGACCGGUGACAGCCCUCGGCGGUUCGCAUCCAGGGAGCCAGAGGAGGAGCUGGGGAGUGGCGGGGACGUGCCUGGGACACCCACCGUGGGUGGGCUUCCUCAGAGGCUGCCUCCGAGGCCGGUCCAGUCUGCUCACCUCCAGCUCAUCUCAUCCGCCAGCCUGGCCGGCCUGGGGACAGUGACCUCCCCAGACUGGCCUCCCCUUCCAGGGUGAGUCCCUCCCCACAGUCCCAGCCGCCCGGUGACAUCUCCCGCCUGUUCACUGUGAGACCCUUGCUCGCCGCCACCUGCGCACCUGCCAUCCCAGGCACUGCAGAGACAGCAGGGGACAGAGGGGUGACACCUGUGGAGCUCUGAGAGCAGCAGUCUGCUGGUCCCCGGGCUGCCGGCCAAGACAAGGAUGUAGAAGGUGGGGUGCCCAGCCAGGGCGUCCGCAGAGAGAAUUGGGGGUCGGUGAAGACCACACGUUUUGUUUCACUAACCCUUAACUGAAGCACAGUGUUUCUCUUUAAUUGUGAACGCUGGUGACACGUCAUGCCGGUCUUAAGAGUGCCUGUGACUUUGUCCUAUCACAUUAGAGCUGCUGCAGACCUAUCAAAGCCUCAUCGGCCGCCAUUGCUGCUUCCGAGCCGUGGAGGCUGACGGAGCCAGCGCCAGAUCUUGUUGUUGACCGCACUGAUAAAGAGGCGCGUCGAGUGUCCUGUCACAUUGGUCUGUGACUAGAAUCUGCCUUGCUCCUGAAAGGCUUUGAGGCGGGUUACAAGAGCACACAGAUGAACAGACACAGCCCUGCUGACAGGGCGGACAGUCUCGCGGGGAAGACAGAUGAGUCAACAAUCCAGUAUCACGUCCUGGGAGGGCGCAGGGGCACGGAUGCCGGGCGGCUCAACAUGGCCUCCAGUGAUCCCGGUGUGCACUGAACCAGCGUCCCCGAGUGACGACCUGACACAGCCACCUUCCUCUUGCCCCUGGCUGGGCUGGGAAACCAAGAUGUCCACUGCUGGGAUGCAUGUGGCCACGUCCCCCCCUCCAAGUUCAGGCCGUGUGUGGAGCUGCUCCUGAAGUCACUGUCCUGUGUCCAGAGGCCGCGCAGGCUGUCUGUGUGUUUACGCCUGGGAGUCCCCAGGGCUGGGGGCGGGAGGCUGCCGUGUCCAGUGCAGCCACAACCCACGACCCCUUCCACAGCCCGGGGCUGCGAGGUGGGACGGCGAGGGCGGGAGCUCAGCCAGGGCACAGAGGAGCGGCCAGGCUGCGGGGAGAAUUCGGUCUUUUCAGAGCAGACCUUUGAAAUGGAGCAAGAAUAACUUUAAACAAUAAGAUGCUUCUCUCCCCCGGCUGUUGCCCAGGCAACGCCAGAGUGCUCAACAACUAUUUAGUUUUUUAAGAAACCAAAUCUCCCUCCCUCGGUCAGCUCCCGCCAGGAAGAUGAAGAGGCGGUGGAGGCGCCCCUCGCGGCCCAUUGUGCGGGAACCCGGGUCAGCCGCCUGCAGCAGUGACAUUUAAAUCUGACGUUACACAUUAUAUAUGAACCCCGGCUGCACUCCUCUGUGGCUGGUGCUGCUGAACUGGGGCGGCCGCAGGCGCCCAGCCCAGACUCCGUGCCCAUGUGCUACUUUGGCAGUUUGGGGGUCACAGACCCGGCUGAUCUCUGCCCGCCAAGCGUCUGGUAGCUGGUAAGAGUGCGCGGUGGUGACGUGUCCCAGCCCUCUCCAUCACUGCCCGAGAGAGUCAGGGGUGGCCUUGUGCAGCUGGGGACUGUGCAGCCCCCAGCAGGGGCCUGACGGAGAAUACCAGCUCCCAAGGCAAACUGGUGCUGCUGUCUCUGGGCCUCCAACAACCGGCCAGGAGGCUUCCUGUUAUCCCCAAACGACACCGAUUAAAAAAAGGUGCCUAGCGUUCUGAAGAAGAUGCUAGAUGUCAGUUCUUACCAAGGAGACCCUUCGGUACCCAAGGGUGUAGGUGUCUCCGUGAGCCCAUUUCUCCAGACAUGGAAACAGAGGCUCCACUGAGACAAGCCAGAGUUGGGCAGGAUUUGAACCCAGCUCAGUCUAGCUUCAGGGCCUGGGGAGGCCCUGUGACCUGGGGACAGGUGAGUGGACCUCUCCUGGUUCCUGGGGCUUGGCCGAUGGUGCUGUCCUAGAGGGGGACCAACUUUCCUCCGUGGAAGGAGGAGGAGGAGCUUUGGCAACACCAAGUUCUGGGCUGUGCGUCCUUGGGUGAGUUGAUGCACGUGAAGCUCGUUUUGCUCAUCUGUAAAGUGGGGUAACACUCCAUGGGAGCUCGGCAGUGAAGAGGGAUCAGCAGCCACCGAGGCGCUGGUCUCACUCAGUGUCUGCAGUGCUCACCUCAGACACAGUAGCUUUAUGACCGCUGUCAGUGUGGAGAGGGAGCCCGUGGCGCAUGGCGGUGGGGUCGGACGCUGGAAGUUACAGCUGAUGGGCGCAACCAUGAGCUCAGGCAGGCCCUGGAGCGUAGUAGGUGUAGAGCGGCCUUGGCUUGCUUCUCCCUGGAAGAUAAAUGGAGGGGCUCUGUCUCCCAGGAAACAAAACAUGGGAGAAAGUUAAAUUUAGAAAAGCCCAGCCAGGUUAGAAGGAGCGCCUUAUCCAGCCCGCAGCGGCUGGGAGGGGAACCUGCUUCAGCUGGGGAGUCCGAGCCAGGACAGGAUUGGCGGCCGGCCUCGCCUGGGGGGCCUCCUGGGGGACUGCCCUGGAUCUGGGCUCCUGGCAGGCAGUGUGGGGGUGGCCGCUGGCAGCUGCUGGAGUGGAGAAGUCCCUCACCUGAGACAGGUGACCUUGCCCUGUCUGAGAAUCCCUGGAGGCUGCACUGAGUCCCUGGCAAUGACAGGGAACACAGGCUGAUGACAAGCCACCAAGUGCAGAAUAACGUUUCCUCGCUGACGCUUUGGCCACCUCUCCCUGGGCCCUCUCUCUAGGAAGCCCAGCAGUUGCUCUUCCUCCACUUCCCAGCUCCCCCGUGAUUCCCGCCCCCCACCCCAGCACGUCUGGGUGGGGGAUAGCAUUUAACGCCACUAAAUGGCAAGCCCAGAGGUGCGGCGGGGGAAGGGCCAGGCACUGAACUCCCAUCGGCUUCCUUCGAGAGAUCACUGCCUUAAUUUACGAGGCCGGAGUGAGUCUCAUUUCCCCAGUGCGCGCUGAGUAAUUAACUAUUAAUAAAAGCAUUACUGAGUUAA